AUUGAACGCUGGCGGCAUGCCUUACACAUGCAAGUCGAACGGUAACGCGGGGCAACCUGGCGACGAGUGGCGAACGGGUGAGUAAAGCAUCGGAACGUGCCCAGUAGUGGGGGAUAGCCCGGCGAAAGCCGGAUUAAUACCGCAUACGACCUAUGGGUGAAAGCGGGGGAUCGCAAGACCUCGCGCUAUUGGAGCGGCCGAUGUCAGAUUAGGUAGUUGGUGGGGUAAAGGCCUACCAAGCCGACGAUCUGUAGCUGGUCUGAGAGGACGACCAGCCACACUGGGACUGAGACACGGCCCAGACUCCUACGGGAGGCAGCAGUGGGGAAUUUUGGACAAUGGGGGCAACCCUGAUCCAGCCAUGCCGCGUGCGGGAAGAAGGCCUUCGGGUUGUAAACCGCUUUUGUCAGGGAAGAAAUCUUUUGGGUUAAUACCUCGGAAGGAUGACGCUACCUGAAGAAUAAGCACCGGCUAACUACGUGCCAGCAGCCGCCGUAACAC
rnacentral:rRNA from 1 species